UACAGAGGUCUCAAGCGUUGUUCGGAUUCAUUGGGCGUAAAGGGUGCGUAGGCGGCGCGGUAAGUCGGGUGUGAAAUCUCGGAGCUUAACUCCGAAACUGCAUUCGAUACUGACGUGCUUGAGGACUGGAGAGGAGACUGGAAUUUACGGUGUAGCGGUGAAAUGCGUAGAUAUCGUAAGGAAGACCAGUGGCGAAGGCGGGUCUCUGGACAGUUCCUGACGCUGAGGCACGAAGGUCAGGGGAGCAAACGGG
rnacentral:rRNA from 1 species